UGGGGAAUUUUGGACAAUGGGGGAAACCCUGAUCCAGCCAUCCCGCGUGUGCGAUGAAGGCCUUCGGGUUGUAAAGCACUUUUGGCAGGAAAGAAACGUCAUGGGUUAAUACCCCGUGAAACUGACGGUACCUGCAGAAUAAGCACCGGCUAACUACGUGCCAGCAGCCGCGGUAAUACGUAGGGUGCAAGCGUUAAUCGGAAUUACUGGGCGUAAAGCGUGCGCAGGCGGUUCGGAAAGAAAGAUCUGAAAUCCCAGAGCUCAACUUUGGAACUGCAUUUUUAACUACCGGGCUAGAGUGUGUCAGAGGGAGGUGGAAUUCCGCGUGUAGCAGUGAAAUGCGUAGAUAUGCGGAGGAACACCGAUGGCGAAGGCAGCCGCCUGGGAUAACACUGACGCUAAUGCACGAAAGCGUGGGGAGCAAACAGG
rnacentral:rRNA from 1 species